rnacentral:rRNA from 1 species
UGGGGAAUAUUGGACAAUGGGCGGAAGCCUGAUCCAGCAACGCCGCGUGAGGGAUGACGGCCUUCGGGUUGUAAACCUCUUUCAGUACCGACGAAGCGAAAGUGACGGUAGGUACAGAAGAAGGACCGGCCAACUACGUGCCAGCAGCCGCGGUAAUACGUAGGGUCCGAGCGUUGUCCGGAAUUAUUGGGCGUAAAGGGCUCGUAGGCGGUUUGUCGCGUCGGGAGUGAAAACAGCGGGCUUAACUCGUUGCUUGCUUUCGAUACGGGCAGACUAGAGGUAUGCAGGGGAGAAUGGAAUUCCUGGUGUAGCGGUGAAAUGCGCAGAUAUCAGGAGGAACACCGGUGGCGAAGGCGGUUCUCUGGGCAUUACCUGACGCUGAGGAGCGAAAAGUGUGGGGAGCGAACAGGAUUAGAUACCCUGGUAGUCCACACCGUAAAACGUUGGGCGCUAGGUGUGGGGUCCUUUCCACGGAUUCCGUGCCGUAGCUAACGCAUUAAGCGCCCCGCCUGGGGAGUACGGCCGCAAGGCUAAAAACUCAAAUGAAAUUGACGGGGUCAUAGCUG